UACGUAGGGGGCAAGCGUUGUCCGGAAUCAUUGGGCGUAAAGCGCGUGUAGGCGGCCCGGUAAGUCCGCUGUGGAAGUCGGGGGCUCAACCCUCGAAUGCCGGUGGAUACUGUCGGGCUAGAGUGCGGGAGAGGCGAGUGGAAUUCCUGGUGUAGCGGUGAAAUGCGUAGAUAUCGAGAGGAACACCUGCGGCGAAGGCGGGUAGCUGGGCCGACACUGACGCUGAGGCGCGAAAGCCAGGGGAGCGAACGGG
rnacentral:rRNA from 1 species